UUCUGAUGUGAAGCACAAUGUGCUCGGAAGCAGAGGCUCAUCAACGGGACAGGAUCUCAACUCAAGGUCCGCUGGUUUUACAAAGCGCCUUCAGGUACAUGCUGCAGUCCUUUUCACACCUCCACACCUGCCGCAUUAGGUGGAAUUAUUCCACAUUGAAAUGGCACAAAAUAUCUGUGUUUCUGGAUCAUCCUCCUGAUGAGGUCAUGACAGCACACCCUGAUGAGGUCAUGACAGCACACCCUGAUGAGGUCAUGACAGCACAUCCUGAGCGAACCGCUGCAGCUGCCCCAAACCACCACCUGUUUGACCACAACUUGCUGCCCAUCAUCUUCACCAGCACCACCACCAUCUUCACCACCAUCAUCGUCAUCACCACCAUCUUCACCACCACCAACAUCAUCACCACCAUCAUCACCACCAUCUUCAUCUUCACCACCACCACCAUCUUCACCACCAUCUUCACCACUAUCACCACCAUCAUCUUCACCACCACCACCACCACCAUCUUCACAGCCACCAACAUCAUCACCACCAUCUUCACCAUGACCACCAUCAUCAUCACCACCAUCAACAUCAUUACCACCAUCUUCACCACUAUCACCACCACCAUCUUCACCACCACCAUCAUCCUCACCACCAUCUUGACCAAUACCACCACCACCAUCUUUACCAUAACCACCAUCAUCAUCACCACCACUAUCACCACCACCAUAUUCACCACCACCAUCAUCUUCACCAUCAUCAUCCUCACCACCAUCUUGACCACCACCAUCUUUACCAUGACCACCAUCAUCAUCACCACCACUAUCACCACCACCAUAUUCACCACCACCAUCAUCCUCACCACCAUCUUGACCACCACCAUCAUCACCACCACCAUCUUCACCACCACCACCACCAUCUUCACCACGACCACCAUCAUCAUCGACAUCAUCAGCUCAGAUGGAGACAGCAGGUGCUUCGCCCAAAUACCGCAGCCUGGCACGGCGGGGCACGUGUCAACCGACGGGGUGUCUUACCGGUCCCCUCCUCUUCAGAGAGAUGUUCUUCCACAGCAGGAGAUGGAGCUGGUGCAGGAAUCCCAUUUUGCUUCGGUCCCGUUGUGUCACUCAACGGAGCAGAUUAGCUCGCCGGUACCGGCGGCGGCCUGUGACUGGAUGUGAAUAACCGGGGAUUCUGUGCCGGUGCCGAGCAUCCCGCCCGAGCCUGUUGUUGCGGUGCUGAGAUGCGCAGGUUCUGCUAACGAUCAGUAUUAAGAAGCUCGCGUUUCUCGCUUUGUCGCAGUCGUAACGGGACCGACUGGUUCCCGUCUGUCAUCCUCUGCGGUCCGAGCAGCGCGGCGAGCUGCUCCUCCGGUUCACUAGUGCACCAGGGACGCGAAGGGGACGCGCAGACAGCCGCUGUUAAGCUCACCGGAGGAAUAAAACCACUUCCGGCCUGCCCUUUAGAAACAAAAGCCCCGCCAGCUCAGCGAUGGACCAGGGCUUGUAACGCCUGCACCGUUAAAUAUAAUAAAAAGCCCUCUUAUUUUAAUAAUGAAA
ensembl:lncRNA